AGGCUUAACACAUGCAAGUCGAGGGGCAGCAUGGUCUUAGCUUGCUAAGGCCGAUGGCGACCGGCGCACGGGUGAGUAACACGUAUCCAACCUGCCGUCUACUCUUGGACAGCCUUCUGAAAGGAAGAUUAAUACAAGAUGGCAUCAUGAGUCCGCAUGUUCACAUGAUUAAAGGUAUUCCGGUAGACGAUGGGGAUGCGUUCCAUUAGAUAGUAGGCGGGGUAACGGCCCACCUAGUCUUCGAUGGAUAGGGGUUCUGAGAGGAAGGUCCCCCACAUUGGAACUGAGACACGGUCCAAACUCCUACGGGAGGCAGCAGUGAGGAAUAUUGGUCAAUGGGCGAGAGCCUGAACCAGCCAAGUAGCGUGAAGGAUGACUGCCCUAUGGGUUGUAAACUUCUUUUAUAAAGGAAUAAAGUCGGGUAUGCAUACCCGUUUGCAUGUACUUUAUGAAUAAGGAUCGGCUAACUCCGUGCCAGCAGCCGCGGUAAUACGGAGGAUCCGAGCGUUAUCCGGAUUUAUUGGGUUUAAAGGGAGCGUAGAUGGAUGUUUAAGUCAGUUGUGAAAGUUUGCGGCUCAACCGUAAAAUUGCAGUUGAUACUGGAUAUCUUGAGUGCAGUUGAGGCAGGCGGAAUUCGUGGUGUAGCGGUGAAAUGCCUAGAUAUCACGAAGAACUCCGAUUGCGAAGGCAGCCUGCUAAGCUGCAACUGACAUUGAGGCUCGAAAGUGUGGGUAUCAAACAGGAUUAGAUACCCUGGUAGUCCACACGGUAAACGAUGAAUACUCGCUGUUUGCGAUAUACAGCAAGCGGCCAAGCGAAAGCGUUAAGUAUUCCACCUGGGGAGUACGCCGGCAACGGUGAAACUCAAAGGAAUUGACGGGGGCCCGCACAAGCGGAGAAACAUGUGGUUUAAUUCGAUGAUACGCGAGGAACCUUACCCGGGCUUAAAUUGCAGAUGAAUUACGGUGAAAGCCGUAAGCCGCAAGGCAUCUGUGAAGGUGCUGCAUGGUUGUCGUCAGCUCGUGCCGUGAGGUGUCGGCUUAAGUGCCAUAACGAGCGCAACCCUUGUUGUCAGUUACUAACAGGUUCCGCUGAGGACUCUGACAAGACUGCCAUCGUAAGAUGUGAGGAAGGUGGGGAUGACGUCAAAUCAGCACGGCCCUUACGUCCGGGGCUACACACGUGUUACAAUGGGGGGUACAGAGGGCCGCUACCACGCGAGUGGAUGCCAAUCCCAAAAACCUCUCUCAGUUCGGACUGGAGUCUGCAACCCGACUCCACGAAGCUGGAUUCGCUAGUAAUCGCGCAUCAGCCACGGCGCGGUGAAUACGUUCCCGGGCCUUGUACACACCGCCCGUCAAGCCAUGGGAGCCGGGGGUACCUGAAGUGCGUAACCGCGAGGAGCGCCCUAGGGUAAAACUGGUGACUGGGGCUAAGU
rnacentral:rRNA from 1 species